rnacentral:rRNA from 1 species
AAGUCUGGAGUGAAACGUAUGAGCUCAACUCAUGCAUGGCUCUGGAAACUGGAGGACUGGAGAGCAGGAGAGGGCGGUGGAACUCCAUGUGUAGCGGUAAAAUGCGUAGAUAUAUGGAAGAACACCAGUGGCGAAGGCGGCCGCCUGGCCUGUUGCUGACGCUGAGGCACGAAAGCGUGGGGAGCAAAUAGGAUUAGAUACCCUAGUAGUCCACGCCGUAAACGAUGAGGACCAAGUGUUGGGGGUGAAACCUCAGUGCUGAAGUUAACGCAGUGAGUCCUCCGCCUGGGGAGUAUGCACGCAAGUGUGAAACUCAAAGGAAUUGACGGGGGCCCGCACAAGCGGUGGAGUAUGUGGUUUAAUUCGAAGCAACGCGAAGAACCUUACCAGGCCUUGACAUGGGAUGCGAAGACGCAGAGAUGCGUUGGAGGUCAACAUCCACACAGGUGGUGCAUGGUUGUCGUCAGCUCGUGUCGUGAGAUGUUGGGUCAAGUCCCGCAACGAGCGCAACCCUUGUGGCAUGUUGCUAACAGGAAAGCUGAGGACUCAUGCCAGACUGCCGGUGACAAACCGGAGGAAGGCGGGGAUGACGUCAAAUCAUCAUGCCCCUUAUGGCCUGGGCUACACACGUACUACAAUGGCGGCUACAAAGAGCGGCGAGACAGUAAUGUCGAGCGAAUCUCAUAAAAGCCGUCCCAGUUCGGAUUGGAGCCUGCAACCCGGCUCCAUGAAGUUGGAAUCGCUAGUAAUCGCGGAUCAGCAUGCCGCGGUGAAUACGUUCCCGGGCCUUGCACACACCGCCCGUCAAG